GACGAACGCUGGCGGCGUGCUUAACACAUGCAAGUCGAACGGAAAGGCCCUGCUUUUGUGGGGUGCUCGAGUGGCGAACGGGUGAGUAACACGUGAGUAACCUGCCCUUGACUUUGGGAUAACUUCAGGAAACUGGGGCUAAUACCGGAUAGGAGCUCCUGCUGCAUGGUGGGGGUUGGAAAGUUUCGGCGGUUGGGGAUGGACUCGCGGCUUAUCAGCUUGUUGGUGGGGUAGUGGCUUACCAAGGCUUUGACGGGUAGCCGGCCUGAGAGGGUGACCGGCCACAUUGGGACUGAGAUACGGCCCAGACUCCUACGGGAGGCAGCAGUGGGGAAUAUUGCGCAAUGGGCGGAAGCCUGACGCAGCGACGCCGCGUGGGGGAUGACGGCCUUCGGGUUGUAAACCUCUUUCGACCCCGACGAAUUUGGACGGUAGGGGUAGAAGAAGCACCGGCCAACUACGUG
rnacentral:rRNA from 1 species